GGGCGGGGUGCCCGGGGACGUCAAAGGGCGGGAGUAGCUUCGGCGCCAAUCCUAGAUUCGAUAGGCCCUUGGGAGACAGAUCUCUUUCCUUAAACUUGUACAUAUCUGAGCAGAAAAGAAGCCUGUCUCUUAAAAGGAUUGGACAGAAACAUUUUCGCUAGAGUCUCGUUCUUUGGACGUGAUCCAAUCACUACUUCUCUACCUAUGAGACUGUUGAUCAUCUCUUUCUCAGAUGAGUUCUGCCAUUAAACUGAAUAUCCAAAUGUGCAUAAAUCCUGAAUCCUAGGCUAUUCUGGCCAAUCAGCAAGAGAAAGAUUUGAGAUUUAAGAAAUUUGCAGCAACAAGAAUUGACUGAUGGCAACUACUAUUUCUUAAUAAGAGUAUUUUACUUAUGUUCUCUGGUUCUUGAGAUUCAAAAUGUAUUUUGAGAAGCAGCAACAGGAGAACAUCUGGAGAGAGAAGGAGAUUCUCUCUUAGAAGGGAAAUCAAAGAGGAAACAAACAAAUGGAAGAACAUUCCAUGCUCAUGGAUAGGAAGAAUCAAUAUUGUGAAAAUGGCCAUACUGCCCAAGGUAAUUUAUAGAUUAAAUGCCGUCCCCAUCAAGCUACCAAUGACUUUCUUCACAAAAUUGGAAAAAACUACUUUAAAGUUGAUAUGGAACCAAAAAAGAGCCUGCACUGCCAAGACGAUCCUAAGGCAAGAGAACAAUGCUGGAGGCAUCAUGCUACCUGACUUCAAACUAUACUACAAGGCUACAGUAACCAAAACAGCAUGGUACUGGUACCAAAACAGAGAUAUAAACCAAUGGAACAGAACAGAGGCCUCAGAAAUAACACCACACAUCUACAACUAUCUGAUCUUUGACAAACCUGACAAAAACAAGAAAUGGGGAAAGGAUUCCCUAUUUAAUAAAUGGUGCUGGGAAAACUGGCUAGCCAUCUGUAGAAAGCUGAAACUGGAUCCCUUCCUUACACCUUAUACAAAAAUUAAUUCAAGAUGGAUUAAAGACUUAAAUGUUAGACCUAAAACCAUAAAAACCCUAGAAGAAAACCUAGGCAAUACCAUUCAGGACAUAGGCAUGGACAAGAACUUCAUGACUAAAACACCAAAAGCAAUGGCAACAAAAGCCAAAAUUGACAAAUGGGAUCUAAUUAAACUAAAGAGCUUCUGCACAGCAAAAGAAACUAUCAUCAGAGUGAACAGGCAACCUACAGAAUGGGAGAGAAUUUUUACAAUCUACCCAUCUGACAAAGGGCUAAUAUCCAGAAUCUACAAAGAGCUUAAACAAAUUUACAAGAAAAAAAUCAAACAACCCCAUCAAAAAGUGGGCAAAGGAUAUGAACAGACACUUCUCAAAAGAAGACAUUUAUGUAGCCAACAGACACAUGAAAAAAUGCUCAUCAUCACUGGCCAUCAGAGAAAUGCAAAUCAAAACCACAAUGAGGUACCAUCUCACACCAGUUAGAAUGGCAAUCAUUUAAAAGUCGGGAAACAACAGGUGCUGGAGAGGAUGUGGAGAAAUAGGAACACUUUUACACUGUUGGUGGGACUGUAAACUAGUUCAACCAUUGUGGAAGUCAGUGUGGUGAUUCCUCAGGGAUCUAGAACUAGAAAUACCAUUUGACCCAGCCAUCCCAUUACUGGUUAUAUACCCAAAGUAUAAUAAAACAUGCUGCUAUAAAGACACAUGCACACGUAUGUUUAUGGUGGCACUAUUCACAAUAGCAAAGACUUGGAACCAACUAUGAUAGACUGGAUUAAGAAAAUGUGGCACAUAUACACCAUGGAAUACUAUGCAGCCAUAAAAAAUGAUGAGUUCAUGUCCUUUGUAGGGACAUGGAUGAAGUUGGAAACCAUCAUUCUGAGCAAACUAUCGCAAGGACAGAAAACCAAACACCACAUGGUCUCACUCAUAGGUGGGAAUUGAACAAUGAGAACACUUGGACACAGGGUGGGGAACAUCACACACCGGGGCCUGUCGUGGGUUAGGGGUAGGGGGAGGGAUAGCAUUAGGAGAUA
ensembl:lncRNA novel transcript, antisense to STXBP5L